rnacentral:tRNA from 1 species
GGCGCGUUGACAGAAUGGAAUAUGUAGCGGAUUGCAAAUCCGCUUAUCCUGGUUCAAUUCCAGGACGCGUCU